UACGAAGGGGGCUAGCGUUGUUCGGAAUUACUGGGCGUAAAGCGCACGUAGGCGGCUUUGUAAGUUAGAGGUGAAAGCCCAGAGCUCAACUCUGGAAUUGCCUUUAAGACUGCAUCGCUAGAAUUGUGGAGAGGUGAGUGGAAUUCCGAGUGUAGAGGUGAAACUCGUAGAUAUUCGGAAGAACACCAGUGGCGAAGGCGGCUCACUGGACACAUAUUGACGCUGAGGUGCGAAAGCGUGGGGAGCAAACAGG
rnacentral:rRNA from 1 species